rnacentral:tRNA from 1 species
GCGGGAAUAGCUCAGUUGGUAGAGCACGACCUUGCCAAGGUCGGGGUCGCGAGUUCGAGUCUCGUUUCCGCC